AUUGAACGCUGGCGGAAUGCUUUACACAUGCAAGUCGAACGGCAGCACGGACUCCGGUCUGGUGGCGAGUGGCGAACGGGUGAGUAAUGUAUCGGAACGUGCCCAGUCGUGGGGGAUAACGUAGUGAAAAUUACGCUAAUACCGCAUACGAUCUAUGGAUGAAAGCGGGGGAUCGCAAGACCCCGCGCGAUUGGAGCGUCCGAUAUCAGAUUAGGUAGUUGGUGGGGUAAAGGCCCACCAAGCCAACGAUCUGUAGCUGGUCCGAGAGGACGACCAGCCACACUGGAACUGAGACACGGUCCAGACUCCUACGGGAGGCAGCAGUGGGGAAUUUUGGACAAUGGGCGAAAGCCUGAUCCAGCCAUUCCGCGUGCAGGAUGAAGGCCCUCGGGUUGUAAACUGCUUUUGUACAGAACGAAAAGGUUUCUACUAAUACUAGGAGCUCAUGACGGUACUGUAAGAAUAAGCACCGGCUAACUACGUGCCAGCCGCCGCCGUAA
rnacentral:rRNA from 1 species